GAUGAACGCUGGCGGCGUGCCUAAUACAUGCAAGUCGAGCGAAGGGACGAGAAGCUUGCUUCUCUGAUGUUAGCGGCGGACGGGUGAGUAACACGUGGAUAACCUACCUAUAAGACUGGGAUAACUUCGGGAAACCGGAGCUAAUACCGGAUAAUAUUAUGAACCGCAUGGUUCAAAAGUGAAAGACGGUCUUGCUGUCACUUAUAGAUGGAUCCGCGCUGCAUUAGCUAGUUGGUAAGGUAACGGCUUACCAAGGCAACGAAGCAUAGCCGACCUGAGAGGGAGGUCGGCUAGACUGGAAGUGAGACACGGUCCAGACUCCUACGGUGGGAAGCAGUAGGGAAUCUUCCGCAAUGGGCGAAAGCCUGACGGAGCAACGCCGCGGGAGUGAUGAAGGUCUUCGGAUCGUAAAACUCUGUUAUUAGGGAAGAACAUAUGUGUAAGUAACUGUGCACAUCUUGACGGUACCUAAUCAGAAAGCCACGGCUAACUACGUG
rnacentral:rRNA from 1 species